AACGAACGCUGGCGGCGUGCCUAACACAUGCAAGUCGAACGAGAAAGGGGCUUCGGCUCCGAGUAAAGUGGCGCACGGGUGAGUAACACGUGGGUAACCUGCCUCUAAGAUUGGGAUAACUCGUCGAAAGAUGAGCUAAUACCGAAUAAGACCACAGUUUCUGCGGGGACAGAGGUCAAAGGUAGCCUCUGCUUGCAAGCUAUCACUUAGAUAUGGGCCUGCGCACCAUUAGCUAGUUGGUAGGGUAACGGCCUACCAAGGCAAAGAUGGUUAGCUGGUCUGAGAGGAUGAUCAGCCACACUGGGACUGAGACACGGUCCAGACUCCUACGGGAGGCAGCAGUGGGGAAUAUUGCGCAAUGGGCGAAAGCCUGACGCAGCAACGCCGCGUGAGUGAUGAAGGCCUUCGGGUCGUAAAGCUCUGUCGGGAGGAACGAAUGCUCCUGAGGUUAACAGCCUCGGGAGGUGACGGUACCUUCAAAGGAAGCACCGGCUAACUCUGUGCCAGCCGCCGCGGUAAAAC
rnacentral:rRNA from 1 species